rnacentral:rRNA from 1 species
AGUGGCGGACGGGUGAGUAACGCGUGAGAAUCUGCCUUCAGGUCGGGGACAACAGUUGGAAACGACCGCUAAUACCCGAUGUGCAGCAAUGUGAAAGAUUUAUUGCCUGAAGAUGAGCUCGCGUCUGAUUAGCUAGUAGGUGUGGUAAUGGCGCACCUAGGCGACGAUCAGUAACUGGUCUGAGAGGAUGACCAGUCACACUGGGACUGAGACACGGCCCAGACUCCUACGGGAGGCAGCAGUGGGGAAUUUUCCGCAAUGGGCGAAAGCCUGACGGAGCAAUACCGCGUGAGGGACGACGGCUUUUGGGUUGUAAACCUCUUUUCCCUGGGAAGAAGAUCUGACGGUACCAGGGGAAUCAGCAUCGGCUAACUUCGUGCCAGCAGCCGCGGUAAUACGAGGGAUGCAAGCGUUAUCCGGAAUUAUUGGGCGUAAAGCGUCCGCAGGUGGCUCUGUAAGUCUGUCGUUAAAGAAUGGAGCUUAACUCCAUACAGGCGAUGGAAACUACAAGGCUAGAGUUUGGUAGGGGUCACGGGAAUUCUUAGUGUAGCGGUGAAAUGCGUAGAUAUUAAGAAGAACACCAGCGGCGAAAGCGCGUGACUGGGCCAGUACUGACACUCAUGGACGAAAGCUAGGGGAGCGAAAGGGAUUAGAUACCCCUGUAGUCCUAGCCGUAAACGAUGAUAACUAGGUGUUGCUC